GGGCCCGCACAAGCGGUGGAGCAUGUGGUUUAAUUCGAUGAUACGCGAGGAACCUUACCAGGGCUUAAAUGUAGUCUGACAGGGCUGGAAACAGCUUUUUCUUCGGACAGAUUACAAGGUGCUGCAUGGUUGUCGUCAGCUCGUGCCGUGAGGUGUCAGGUUAAGUCCUAUAACGAGCGCAACCCCUGUGGUUAGUUGCCAGCGAGUGAUGUCGGGAACUCUAGCCAGACUGCCGGUGCAAACCGCGAGGAAGGUGGGGAUGACGUCAAAUCAUCACGGCCCUUACGUCCUGGGCCACACACGUGCUACAAUGGUAGGGACAGAGAGCAGCCACUUCGCGAGAAGGAGCGAAUCUACAAACCCUAUCACAGUUCGGAUCGCAGUCUGCAACUCGACUGCGUGAAGCUGGAAUCGCUAGUAAUCG
rnacentral:rRNA from 1 species